GACUAUGUCUGGUUUGGUGUGCUAAUGUGCUGAAAUGGUUCUGAAGGUGAAGGGAUGGCUGCUGCGGUUCUCGACGAGUGCGGUCGGCAGUGUUAACAUGUUAUCUGCAUUCUUUUUUUUUUAACCCUAGACUAAGCCUAUCAUGUGAAUACGUGACGAUGUCUUUCUUGAAUAUUUGUCCCUUCCAGUUUUUUGCCUACUGUGUGUGAUAUUUUUUCAA